UACGGAGGGUGCAAGCGUUAUCCGGAUUCACUGGGUUUAAAGGGUGCGUAGGUGGGUUGGUAAGUCAGUGGUGAAAUCCCCGAGCUUAACUUGGGAACUGCCAUUGAUACUAUCAGUCUUGAAUACCGUGGAGGUCAGCGGAAUAUGUCAUGUAGCGGUGAAAUGCUUAGAUAUGACAUAGAACACCAAUUGCGAAGGCAGCUGGCUACACGAAUAUUGACACUGAGGCACGAAAGCGUGGGGAUCAAACAGGAUUAGAAACCCCCGUAGUCC
rnacentral:rRNA from 1 species